CCCUUUCAUCCACCAAACUGAUAAAAAAACCCAGAAGAAAUCAAUUAAAUCUCUCUCGAUCUCUUAGCCAUCUUCUUCAUCCACCAAAUCGAAACUGAAAAGAAAAACCAGAAGAAAUCAAUUAAAUCAUCUGCUCUCCCGGUCUCUUAUUCAUCUUCUUCAUCGACCAAAUCGAAACUUAAAAAAACCCAGAAGAAAUCAAUUAAGUCAUUGCUCUUAAACCCUGGGUUUGUUUCUAUAAAUUAAAAGAAACGCCCAUUUCCCAGUUUGAUUAAAUCAUGGGGUUUGUUUCUAUAAAUUUCUUCUAAUAAUUAGGGUUUACUGUUUGAUUUUUCUUCAAUUUUUUUCUUGUUCCUUUUGUUUGUUCAUAAGGUUAUUUUUUUUGUUCCUUUCAUGCAGAGUAUUCUUGUGAUUUAAUCCAAGGUCUCUUCUUUUUAUUGGUAGCCAUUUAGGCAUUUUUCUUAAUUAGUCUCAACAAUUUUCGAUUUAUUUUGGUUUGAUGAAUCAAGGUUCGAUUAUCAACUUUACUUGUUUUGCUAAUCUAGGAUUUGUGAUUUUGCUAUAAUCUCAGAAGAUCUAGUUGUUAGGAUCUUUGUUGGAUUCAAUAUCUAGUUGAAGUAUUCCUUUUCCCUCGAUUUUAUACACAAAAAAUUGGUAAAAGAUUUUAUUUAUUUUUGAAUUUUUUUUACCUUUAAUGUCCAUUGAGUGUUUGGAGUUAUGGGUCUGAUAUUGGAUUCCUAACAAGGAGGUUUUAUUCCAAAUUGUUUUUAUCUCACUGAUUGGAUGUCCCCUGUUUAGUUGUUUUUCAUUGAUCUCUAGAUUGUUUGAAUUUUGAAUCGCUAAUUAAACUUUUGGAGGUUAUGGCAGAAACAUGUCUUGGUUUUGAAGCUAGAAGACCCUACACAGCCAGGGUAAAUACUAUGAUCUGCUGGUGCUUGGUUUUGAAGAUGGAAAACCCUACGAAGCCAGGAUAAAUACUAUGAUCUUCCCGUAUUCCUAUGUUUAUUGCACUUUAAUUUCUAUGAGUUAUGCAUUUCUCGAUUUGUUGCUUUGAUCAAUGAGGGUAUAUAUUUGUUGUUGAUGAAUUUAUUAGAAACCAGUUACUGAAAUACUUAAGGGCCCAGUUUUGAUUAGCAAGAACUGGUUGAAGGUGCUAUUACUUAUGGAUUCUAGUUGAUAAUGAUUCCGAACAUUUCCCUGUCCAAUUAAUUGCAUUUCUCUUGUAAACUCAUUUCAAAGCAUUGAUUCUUCCAUAU